rnacentral:lncRNA from 10 species
GGACUAAGACAUCAUCCAUUGGUACCCGCCAGGCUCCCACUAAUAGUUCUAAGCACUAUAAAAAAUAAAAUCAAAUGGAGACUACAUCAUCUGUUGGAAGAGAAGUGGCAUGAGACCCGACAGAAGAAAUCUGCUAUCAACUAUUCCAUUGACCUAUUCCAGAAGCUGAAGUGAUAUUUAAUCCCUAUGACUUGAAGCACAUGUCCAAAAUAAGUAACAGACACAGAUGUUCACCAUCUUACCAGACUUUUCAUUCUAUAUCUCUUGUGAAGGGAAGGCAUCACAGUGUCUUUAAAUCCAUGCCAUCACAUGGAUCCACACUGAAAAGAAUCCACAAAGUAUUUAGUCACCUUUGAUUCUAUAAUAUAAUUUGUCUUGAGGUAGUGCUUGUAAAUGGAGCUAAGAAUUGACAUUUGUCUAUUUUAUAAGUACUUUUUCUGCUAGCUGUGAUGAUAAAUACAUCAUUAUCAGUAAUAUUUAUGAAGUGUCCUGUCAUACUAACAGAAAGUUGCACAUACUAAAAUAUAUGUCUGAAUAUUAAAAGACUAUAACUCCUGCUGACAGCCACUAAUGUGCAUUAAUCUUGACAAUGCUACGUUACCUGAACUCUGUGCUCUUGGAAAACAGCAAAGUUAAGAAAUUCCCCUAGACUGGUGUUCGAAGAAAAAUGGCUUACAUCAAUGAACCAUCCUUCCCAUAGGACUUUCAAAAAACUCCCGUUUACCUAUGACAAGGCUAGCCACAGACCAUCCAAAUUCCUAUCCUUUGCCUCAAAGUGAUUAGCUGAACUGUUUGUACUCACUGACCAAUGUGGACCCAAUACCUGCAAAUUUGACUUGACUAAAAUAGCUAAAGCUUUUUUCCUUUCCCCAGGCUCCUUUAAUAUUGACCAGCCCUCAGUCUGAGUCAGCAGUGGGAUAAAGAACUAUCUCCUCUUAAUAGUCCCUCCAGGCCGGGCGCGGUGGCUCACCCCUGUAAUCCCAGCACUUUGGGAGGCCGAGGCAGGUGGAUCACGAGGUGAGGAGUUCGAGACGAUCCUGGCUAACACAGUGAAACCCCGUCUCUACUAAAAGAUACAAAAAAAAUAAAAAAAUAUAAAAAUAUAAAAAAUUAGCUGGGCGUGGUGACGGGCGCCUGUAAUCGCAGCUAGUAGGAAGGCUGAGACAGGAGAAUAGCAUGAACCUGGGAGGUGGAGCUUGCAGUGAGCCGAGAUCAGGCCACUGCACUCCAGCCUGGACGACAGAGCAAGACGCCAUCUCAAAAAACAAACAAACAAACAAACAAAAAACAAGUCACUCACUCCAGAGAACAGGAUGGCCUCAGAAAACAUAUUUCCUGCUUAACAGUCCAAACACACCAUCAGCUCAUCCCAUUUUCUCAUAUCGGGUUCUUACUAGCUUUCUUUAUUCCUCCCUAGAAUAGAAAUUUUAUUUUGGUUGACCUUUGAAACUCUUAUAGAUCUUAUGGUCAGAAGACUCUCCCUACUGCAACAAUCUCCCUCUCUUAUUGCAGUGAUUCUUUUGAAUAAAGUCUUUCCCUACCUAAGUCCAGAUUGGUUUUUAUUUGAUAAUAUUUUUUUCUUAGAAUAUCCUAAUUGACAUUAUUUUGAAUUGAACAUAUAUUGAAGGUGAAAUUCUCAGAAUCAUUUUGUCAGUCUAGUUUCAUAUCAACGUUUAAUAAGAAUUUUUCUUUUGUUGUAUUUAUUUAAAGAUAUCGAAUUACUUAGAUAUUUGCAAUUAUGUAAUAAAUUUACCAUUUGUGAGAGCUUUAAAACAAAAAAUAUUUCUUUAUGUGAAAAAUUCCAUAAGAGGUUUUGAAUUUACCUAGUCAGAAUAAAUUUAUAUAGACACAAUUAUUACUAAAUAAUUCUAUCAUUUGGUGCUAUCUUCUAUGUAAUAGAAAAGCAAGAAUCAAAAGCAGAAUAAAUAAUAAUGAAUAUGUAGUUAUCAUUUUUCUUGACAUAUACAUGUAAUCUACCAUAUACCAUUAAUAUAUUUGUGAAAUAUUUAUGUGUACAUAAAUAUAACAUAUAUACUAAUUCAUGGUCUCAUUUGUGUCCCUGCAACACACAUAUGUUGAAGUCCUAUCCCCUAAUA